AGUCGAACGCGAAAGUUCCCUUCGGGGGGCGAGUAGAGUGGCGCACGGGUGAGUAACACGUAGGUAAUCUACCUUUGGAUUGGGAAUAACAACCGGAAACGGUUGCUAAUACCGAAUAAUGCAGCGGCACCUAAUGGUGACAGUUGUUAAAGCGGGGGAUCGCAAGACCUCGCGUCUGAAGAGGAGCCUGCGGCAGAUUAGCUAGUUGGUAAGGUAACGGCUUACCAAGGCGAUGAUCUGUAGCCGGCCUGAGAGGGCGGUCGGCCACACUGACACUGACAUACGGGUCAGACUCCUACGGGAGGCAGCAGUCGGGAAUUUUGGGCAAUGGGCGAAAGCCUGACCCAGCAACGCCGCGUGAAGGAUGAAAUCCUUCGGGAUGUAAACUUCGCAAGAACGGGAAGAAUAAGUAAGGGUUAAUAUCCCUUAUGAUGACGGUACUGUUUGUAAGCUCCGGCUAACUCCGUGCCAGCAGCCGCGGUAAUACGGGGGGAGCAAGCGUUGUUCGGAUUUACUGGGCGUAAAGGGCGCGUAGGCGGCCACCGCAAGUCGGUUGUGAAAUCUCCGGGCUUAACCCGGAAAGGUCAAUCGAUACUGCGGGGCUAGAGUGCAGAAGGGGCAACUGGAAUUCUCGGUGUAGCGGUGAAAUGCGUAGAUAUCGAGAGGAACACCUGCGGCGAAGGCGGGUUGCUGGGCUGACACUGACGCUGAAGCGCGAAAGCUAGGGGAGCGAACGGGAUUAGAUACCCCGGUAGUCCUAGCCUUAAACGAUGAAUGCUUGGUGUCUGGGGUUUUAUAGUCCCCGGGUGCCGUCGCUAACGCUUUAAGCAUUCCGCCUGGGGAGUACGGUCGCAAGACUGAAACUCAAAGGAAUUGACGGGGACCCGCACAAGCGGUGAAGCAUGUG
rnacentral:rRNA from 1 species